rnacentral:misc_RNA from 1 species
CCAGUCACGAAUCCCACCGUAACGUCCCUCCCGUUAGGGCUCAACCACUCUGGCGGUGUUCACUUCCUGAUGGGCGGUGCGCGCACAGUUCGGAACGGUAUUCACCGCGACAUGCUGAUCCGCGAUCACUGCGAUUCCGACUUCACCGAGUUCGCAGACCGCGAUCCGGACUACGAUCACUUCGUUGGCGACUCAUUACGACGCAGUGACUACAGUGGGCGAGGUUCUCGGGACGCACCAUCUUCCUCCGGUUUGUCACCUACCGGGCAGGUUCAUUAGGAGCGUUCUUCGUAGCACCCAACGACGAGCUGACGACAGCACUCAGACAUUCCCAAAAUUUCUCGCAUCGGACUAAUCCACAUCAUCUCACGCUUAUGUCCUCGUCAAUUCUUCGAUGACCUACAUCGCACUCCUGCGGCGGCCAACUAGCUGUUGGGGCCUUCGGGCUUCCGGCAGCCAACGCGGGUGAAGCUGACCGCCUGGGGAGUACGGUCGCAAGAUUAAAACUCAAAGGAAUUGACGGGGACUCCGCACAAGCGGUGGAUGAUGGGAUUACCCGAUGCAACGCGAAAAAACCUUACCUACCCUUGACAUGUCUGGAAUCCCGGAAGAGAUUUGGGAGUGCUCGCAAGAGAACCGGAACACAGGUGCUGCAUGGCUGUCGUCAGCUCGUGUCGGAGAUGUUGGGUUGGGUCCUUAGCAACGAGCGCAGCAACCCUUGUCAUUAGUUGCUACGAAAGGCACUCUAAUGAGACUGCCGGUGACAAACCGAGGAAGGUGGGGAUGACGUCAAGUCCUCAUGGCCCUUGCGGUAGGGUUUUCACACGUCAUACAAUGGUCGGGACAGAGGGUCGCCAACUCCGGCGAGGGGAGCCAAUCCCAGAAACCCGAUCGUAGUCCGGAUCGCAGUUCAGUAACUCGACUGCGUGAAGUCGGAAUCGCUAGUAAUCGCGGAUCAGCAUGUCAGCGGUGAAUACGUUCCCGGGUCUUGCACACACCGCCCGUCACACCAUGGGAGUGGGUUUACCAGAAGUAUUAGCCUAACCGGGUAAGGAGGGCGAUUACCACGGUAGGAUUCAUGACUGGGGUGAAGUCGUAACAAGGUAGCUCCGAAAGAUACUGAUGCUCUGU